rnacentral:rRNA from 1 species
CAGCUACACAUGCAGUCGAGCGGUAGAGAGAAGCUUGCUUCUCUUGAGAGCGGCGGACGGGUGAGCUUUGCCUAGGAAUCUGCCUGGUAGUGGGGGAUAACGUCCGGAAACGGACGCUAAUACCGCAUACGUCCUACGGGAGAAAGCAGGGGACCUUCGGGCCUUGCGCUAUCAGAUGAGCCUAGGUCGGAUUAGCUAGUUGGUGGGGUAAUGGCUCACCAAGGCGACGAUCCGUAACUGGUCUGAGAGGAUGAUCAGUCACACUGGAACUGAGACACGGUCCAGACUCCUACGGGAGGCAGCAGUGGGGAAUAUUGGACAAUGGGCGAAAGCCUGAUCCAGCCAUGCCGCGUGUGUGAAGAAGGUCUUCGGAUUGUAAAGCACUUUAAGUUGGGAGGAAGGGCAGUAAAUUAAUACUUUGCUGUUUUGACGUUACCGACAGAAUAAGCACCGGCUAACUCUGUGCCAGCAGCCGCGGUAAUACAGAGGGUGCAAGCGUUAAUCGGAAUUACUGGGCGUAAAGCGCGCGUAGGUGGUUCGUUAAGUUGGAUGUGAAAUCCCCGGGCUCAACCUGGGAACUGCAUUCAAAACUGACGAGCUAGAGUAUGGUAGAGGGUGGUGGAAUUUCCUGUGUAGCGGUGAAAUGCGUAGAUAUAGGAAGGAACACCAGUGGCGAAGGCGACCCCUGGACUGAUACUGACACUGAGGUGCGAAAGCGUGGGGAGCAACAGGAUUAGAGACCCUGGUAGUCCACGCCGUAAACGAUGUCAACUAGCCGUUGGGAGCCUUGAGCUCUUAGUGGCGCAGCUAACGCAUUAAGUUGACCGCCUGGGGAGUACGGCCGCAAGGUUAAAACUCAAAUGAAUUGACGGGGCCCGCACAAGCGGUGGAGCAUGUGGUUUAUUCGAGCACGCGAGACCUUACCAGCCUUGACAUCC